AUUGAACGCUGGCGGCAGGCCUAACACAUGCAAGUCGAGCGGAUGAAGGGAGCUUGCUCCUGGAUUCAGCGGCGGACGGGUGAGUAAUGCCUAGGAAUCUGCCUGGUAGUGGGGGAUAACGUCCGGAAACGGGCGCUAAUACCGCAUACGUCCUGAGGGAGAAAGUGGGGGAUCUUCGGACCUCACGCUAUCAGAUGAGCCUAGGUCGGAUUAGCUAGUUGGUGGGGUAAAGGCCUACCAAGGCGACGAUCCGUAACUGGUCUGAGAGGAUGAUCAGUCACACUAGAACUGGGACACGGUCCAGACUCCUACGGGAGGCAGCAGUGGGGAAUAUUAGACAAUGGGCGAAAGCCUGAUCCAGCCAUGCCGCGUGUGUGAAGAAGGUCUUCGGAUUGUAAAGCACUUUAAGUUGGGAGGAAGGGCAGUAAGUUAAUACCUUGCUGUUUUGACGUUACCAACAGAAUAAGCACCGGCUAACUUCGUG
rnacentral:rRNA from 1 species